rnacentral:rRNA from 1 species
ACGCUGCGGCGGCCUAACACAUGCAAGUCGAACGGUAACAGGGGUAGCAAUACCUGCUGACGAGUGGCGCACGGGUGAGUAACGCGUAUGCAACCUGCCCUGUACUGGGGGAUAGCUCGGAGAAAUCCGGAUUAAUACCCCAUAAUAAUAUAGACAGGCAUCUGUUUAUGUUUAAAGUUCCGGCGGUACAGGAUGGGCAUGCGUGCCAUUAGUUAGUUGGUGAGGUAACGGCCUACCAAGGCGAAGACGGGUAGGGGGUGUGAGAGCAUGGCCCCCCACAAUGGGACUGAGAGACGGCCCAUACUCCUACGGGAGGCAGCAGCAGGGAAUAUUGCACAAUGGACGGAAGUCUGAUGCAGCGACGCCGCGUGGAUGAAGAAGGCCUUCGGGUUGUAAAAUCCUUUUCGGGGGGAAGAGAGAGGACGGUACCCUCGGAAUAAGCGUCGGCUAACUACGUGCCAGCAGCCGCGGUAAUACGUAGGACGCGAGCGUUAUCCGGAUUUACUGGGCGUAAAGCGUCUGUAGGCGGUGGCGUAAGUUGGGCGUGAAAGCUCCGGGCUUAACCCGGGAGAGGCCGUACAAUACUGCGCGACUAGAGGGCGUGAGAGGGGAGCGGAAUUUCCGGUGUAGCGGUAAAAUGCGCAGAUAUCGGGAGGAACACCAGUGGCGCAGGCGGCUCCCUGGUGCGCACCUGACGCUGAGAGACGAAAGCUAGGGGAGCAAACAGGAUCAGAGACCCUGGUAGUCCUAGCCCUAAACGAUGGAUGCUAGGUGUGGGGCCGAUAGGCUCUGUGCCGCA